AUAAGAGGUCCCGCCUGCCCUGUGACUAUAAGUUUAACGGCCGCGGUAUUUUAACCGUGCGAAGGUAGCGUAAUCACUUGUCCUUUAAAUGAAGACCUGUAUGAAUGGCAUCACGAGGGCUUAGCUGUCUCCCAUCUCCAGUCAAUGAAAUUGACCUCCCCGUGCAGAGGCGGGGAUAACCCCAUAAGACGAGAAGACCCUAUGGAGCUUUAGACCUAAAAUAAAUCACGUUUAACAUGCUACAAUAACAGCAGAAACUUACUGAUAUUUACUGAAGUGUCUUUGGUUGGGGCGACCGCGGGGUAAAACACAACCCCCAUGUAGACUGGGGAUACAAUCCCUAGCACUCAGAGCCUCUACUCCAAGUAACAGAAAUUCUGACUUUUCUGAUCCGGUGAAACCGAUCAACGAACCGAGUUACCCUAGGGAUAACAGCGCAAUCUCCUCUAAGAGCCCAUAUCGACGAGGGGGUUUACGACCUCGAUGUUGGAUCAGGACAUCCUAAUGGUGCAGCCGCUAUUAAGGGUUCGUUUGUUCAACGAUUAAAGUCC
rnacentral:rRNA from 1 species